CCUACGGGUGGCUGCAGUGGGGAAUAUUGCGCAAUGGGCGAAAGCCUGACGCAGCGACGCCGCGUGAGGGAUGAAGGUCCUCGGAUCGUUAACCUCUGUCAGCAGGGAAGAACGGUCACUGUGCUAAUCAGCAGUGAAUUGACGGUACCUGCAAAGGAAGCACCGGCUAACUCCGUGCCAGCAGCCGCGGUAAUACGGAGGGUCCGAGCGUUAAUCGGAAUUACUGGGCGUAAACCGCUCGUAGGCGGUAUGUCAAGUCAAGGGUGAAAUCCCCGCGCUCAACGUGGGAACUGCCUUUGAAACUGGCAGACUAGAGGGUGGGAGAGGAAAGUGGAAUUCCAGGUGUAGGAGUGAAAUCCGUAGAGAUCUGGAGGAACAUCAGUGGCGAAGGCGACUAUCUGGCACAUAACUGACGCUGAGGAGCGAAAGCGUGGGGAGCAAACAGGAUUAGAUACCCCUGUAGUC
rnacentral:rRNA from 1 species